rnacentral:rRNA from 1 species
AGAUUGAACGCUGGCGGCAUGCCUUACACAUGCAAGUCGAACGGUAGAGUAGCAAUACUCGAGAGUGGCGAACGGGUGAGUAAUAUAUCGGAACGUGCCCAGUCGUGGGGGAUAACGUAGAGAAAUUUACGCUAAUACCGCAUACGAUCUACGGAUGAAAGCGGGGGACUCGCAAGACGCCUCGCGACGUAGUUGGACGGC